UGUGCAAUACCAGAUCAAGCAUUAAAGGGACAUCUGAUCAACCAGGCAAUCUGUCCAAAGCAGCCAAAAGCAUGUCCAAAGCAUCUACAGAUUACGUUGGGGACUUCCUCGCCGAAUUCAAGGAGCAGAUCAUUGUACGAGCAACACGAGUCAGUGACAUCAUAGAGGCGGUCUUGUCCCAAAACCUGAUCCAUGACAGAGCAGCUCGUCAAGUUGAAACAGCUCCUACUGAGCAAGAAGCGAUGAGGCUUCUGUUUGAGGCUCUGGAAAGAGAACCUUCCCAACACAGAGUGUCCUUCCAUCUAAUUCUGAGAAUGACUGAGCCUGAACUUAUUCAAGAGCUGGAAGUACAAUGGCGGUGUCUUCAAUUCAGCAGGGGUAGUGGCUUAUGCCACAGAAACCGGAUGAUGCCAGUGGCAUAUUCCACAGAAACCGGAUGAUGCCAGGCCACUAAAUGCUCCUACCCCCUCUCCUUCAAUUUUACAAGGGCUGUAUUUACACUAGUCCUAUUUCUCUAAAUAAGCACAAAUGAAAAUACACACUUUAACCACAGUACAGGAUGUAAUUGGCUUAUAUUUUGAUAUAUAGAUAUAUAGAAAUUCUAAACUCUUCAGUACAAUUAAUCCAAAUGGUUGGGAAUUCAAUACUAAAACCUUGAACUGUGCAGCGGGCUCACACACUCUCCUGUCCAGCGUUAGCUCUGUUAGCUAUCCCCACGAGGCUCCGUGAUAUUCUUGGUUAGGUAACCGUGCACCUAAAUGAGGCUUAGGGCGUUUUCACACCAGCACUAUUUGGUCCGGUUAAAACGAACUCUAGUCCUUUUGUAACUUUAGUGCGGUUCGAUUGAGCAGGUGUGAAAACAGUAAUUGCACUCGGGUGCGCAUCAAAAGAACCGGACCGAGACCAGCUAGAGGAGGUGGUCUCGGUGCGGUACCAAACGAACUCUGGAGCGGUUCGCUUUGGUGAGAACGUGAUCCGGUCUCGAUCUGACCCAGCUAUUAAAUAUAGUCCAUUUAUUUGAGCUAAACGGCUGAUAAGACGCAGUCUAAACUGAUAUAUUAGCCAGAUAACGCCAAUUACCACAGCUAAGAACAAACGCUGUGUCCCUGCGUUCUUGUCUGUACUUGUGUUCUUGUGGACUCUGGAAACGUCAUCAGUCGCAGCCCAAGUACUGUUCCAAUUCAGAAGAUCACAGGCUGUGACCGAAAUGGCCCCCUACUCCCUCGUUAGUGUUGCGCUAUGUAGGGAGAUACUACUUAGUUCACUAAGUAGUGGUAAAACAGGAGAGAAUUCGGACACUUAAGGCCGUUUUUCAAUACACAAGUACACAAGUCUGUACUCGGGAAGUUCGCGAUCGCCAGUGCGGACCCCCGAGGACAGGAGGAAGCGGGACGGUUGUUGUGUGAUUGGAACAGUUGUGUACUUGAUGACGUCACCCUCUUAGAGGAGCUGAAAGCGCUGACAUACUCAAUAGUGCCCUAACUAGUAAAUAGGGAGCCAUUUCGGUCACAGCCACAGUUUGCCAAGUACACAACUAAUACCCGGAUGUGUUCUUGCUCCUCCCACUUUAUCGAGGAUGCAUGGAGGGUGACUUGUGUGAACUUCUUACAGCCCGAUAACCCAGAAUGCACCUCGCAGCAGUAUCAGCGUAAUGCAGGAUGAGAAGGUACAUAACUGUAAGCACCUGUCCGUUUUCAAAACAGUACUGCUGUGUGCUAAAACAAUGUAUUUAAGUUAUUUUUAGGCGAGAAUGUAGGGGUUUAGAACUCAGAUAUGUGGUUUAUUUUUUAAGAAAGCGGCUAGGUGAAAAUGUGCUCCUCUGUUUUUGGAACAACGCUUUCCGCUCCUCUAAGAGGGUGACGUCAUCAAGUUCACAGCUGUUCCAAUUACACAACAACAAGCUGUAAAGGUCCUGUAAAGGACCCGACCCCUUUUCCGCAGCAGACCCCAACGCAGAGAGCUAUGGGACAAAAUAAAAUAAAAGCCAGAAAAAUAUACA
ensembl:lncRNA